rnacentral:rRNA from 1 species
GAUGAACGCUGGCGGCGUGCCUAAUACAUGCAAGUCGAGCGGUAAGGCUCCUGCAGUUUAUUUGACAAGCCAGGUCGUGACUUCGUAAGAAGUCACAUCGUUUAACGAAAGAAGAACGAGUGACCGGCACCCAACUUACAGGCUAGUAAGAAGGGUCAAAUAAAGUGCUGGAGUACACGAGCGGCGGACGGCUGAGUAACACGUAGGAACGUACCCCAAGUGAGGGAGUAAGCACCAGAAAUAGGUGUCUAAUACCGCAUGUGGUCUUC